CUCUUUUAGUAGGGAAGAAGCGAAAGUGACGGUACCUGCAGAAAAAGCACCGGCUAACUACGUGCCAGCAGCCGCGGUAAUACGUAGGGUGCGAGCGUUGUCCGGAAUUAUUGGGCGUAAAGAGCUCGUAGGCGGUCUGUCGCGUCUGCUGUGAAAACCCGAGGCUCAACCUCGGGCCUGCAGUGGGUACGGGCAGACUAGAGUGCGGUAGGGGAGAAUGGAAUUCCUGGUGUAGCGGUGGAAUGCGCAGAUAUCAGGAGGAACACCGAUGGCGAAGGCAGUUCUCUGGGCCGUAACUGACGCUGAGGAGCGAAAGCGUGGGGAGCGAACAGGAUUAGAUACCCUGGUAGUCCACGCCGUAAACGUUGGGCGCUAGAUGUGGGGACCAUUCCACGGUUUCCGUGUCGCAGCUAACGCAUUAAGCGCCCCGCCUGGGGAGUACGGCCGCAAGGCUAAAACUCAAAGGAAUUGACGGGGGCCCGCACAAGCGGCGGAGCAUGCGGAUUAAUUCGAUGCAACGCGAAGAACCUUACCAAGGCUUGACAUACACGAGAACGGGCCAGAAAUGGUCAACUCUUUGGACACUCGUGAACAGGUGGUGCAUGGUUGUCGUCAGCUCGUGUCGUGAGAUGUUGGGUUAAGUCCCGCAACGAGCGCAACCCUCGUUCUAUGUUGCCAGCGCGUAAUGGCGGGAACUCAUAGGAGACUGCCGGGGUCAACUCGGAGGAAGGUGGGGAUGACGUCAAAUCAUCAUGCCCCUUAUGUCUUGGGCUUCACGCAUGCUACAAUGGCCGGUACAAAGGGCUGCAAUACCGUAAGGUGGAGCGAAUCCCAAAAAGCCGGUCUCAGUUCGGAUUGAGGUCUGCAACUCGACCUCAUGAAGUCGGAGUCGCUAGUAAUCGCAGAUCAGCAACGC
rnacentral:rRNA from 1 species